rnacentral:rRNA from 1 species
UCAAGUGACUAAGCGUAUACGGUGGAUGCCUUGGCAACUGGAGGCGAUGAAAGACGUAGUAGCCUGCGAUAAGCUUCGGUGAGGUGGCAAACAACCUUUGACCCGGAGAUCUCUGAAUGGGGCAACCCACCGCUUCGGCGGUAUCGUUACCUGAAUACAUAGGGUAACGAGGCGAACCUAGGGAACUGAAACAUCUAAGUACCUAGAGGAAAAGAAAUCAAACGAGAUUCCCUUAGUAGCGGCGAGCGAAAGGGGAACAGCCCUUAAGCUGUUUUGUAGUUAGUAGAAUGCUCUGGAAAGUGCAGCAAUAGUGGGUGAUAGCCCCGUAUACUAAAACUUAUUUACAGUGAAAUCGAGUAGGUCGGGACACGUGAUAUCCUGACUGAAUAUGGGGGGACCAUCCUCCAAGGCUAAAUACUCCCAGUUGACCGAUAGUGAACCAGUACCGUGAGGGAAAGGCGAAAAGAACCCCUGUGAGGGGAGUGAAAUAGAACCUGAAACCGUAUACGUACAAGCAGUGGGAGCAGACUUGUUCUGUGACUGCGUACCUUUUGUAUAAUGGGUCAGCGACUUAUAUUUAGUAGCAAGGUUAAGCGUUUAGCGGAGCCGUAGGGAAACCGAGUCUUAAUAGGGCGUUUAGUUGCUAGGUAUAGACCCGAAACCCGGCGAUCUAUCCAUGAGCAGGUUGAAGAUUGAGUAACAUCAAUUGGAGGACCGAACCCACUGUCGUUGAAAAGCCAGGGGAUGACUUGUGGAUCGGAGUGAAAGGCUAAUCAAGCCGGGAGAUAGCUGGUUCUCCUCGAAAUCUAUUUAGGUAGAGCGUCCUGUAUUACCCACGGGGGUAGAGCACUGUUAAGGCUAGGGGGUCAUCCCGACUUACCAACCCUUUGCAAACUCCGAAUACCGUGGAGUACGAGCAGGGCAGACACACUGCGGGUGCUAACGUCCGUAGUGGAAAGGGAAACAACCCAGACCGUCAGCUAAGGUCCCAAAGUUAUAGUUAAGUGGGAAACGAUGUGGGAAGGCUCAGACAGCUAGGAGGUUGGCUUAGAAGCAGCCAUCCUUUAAAGAAAGCGUAAUAGCUCACUAGUCGAGUCGGCCUGCGCGGAAGAUUUAACGGGGCUCAAACUAUACACCGAAGCUACGGACCUGUGUUUACACAGGUGGUAGAGGAGCGUUCUGUAGGCUGUUGAAGGUGAACUGAGAAGUUUGCUGGAGGUAUCAGAAGUGCGAAUGCUGACAUGAGUAACGAUAAGGGGGGUGAAAAACCUCCCCGCCGGAAGACUAAGGGUUCCUGUCCAAUGCUAAUCAGGGCAGGGUUAGUCGACCCCUAAGGCGAGGCUGAGAAGCGUAGUCGAUGGGAAACAGGUUAAUAUUCCUGUACUUAAUAUUACUGCGAUGGGGGGACGGAGAAGGCUAAUCGAUCCAGGCGUUGGUUGUCCUGGUUUAAGGUUGUAGGCUGUAGACUUAGGCAAAUCCGGGUUUACAUUAAGGCUGAGAACUGAUGACGGUGACUCUACGGAGUCCGAAGUCGAUGAUGCCAUACUUCCAAGAAAAGCCUCUAAGCUUCAGGUAAUGUUGAAUCGUACCCUAAACCGACACAGGUGGUCAGGUAGAGAAUACCAAGGCGCUUGAGAGAACUCGGGUAAAGGAACUAGGCAAAAUGGUACCGUAACUUCGGGAGAAGGUACGCCGGUGAUUGUGAUGAGAUUUACUCUCUAAGCGAUUGCCGGUCGAAGAUACUAGGUGGCUGCGACUGUUUAUUAAAAACACAGCACUGUGCAAACUCGAAAGAGGACGUAUACGGUGUGACGCCUGCCCGGUGCCGGAAGGUUAAUUGAUUGGGUUAGCUUCGGCGAAGCUCAUGAUCGAAGCCCCGGUAAACGGCGGCCGUAACUAUAACGGUCCUAAGGUAGCGAAAUUCCUUGUCGGGUAAGUUCCGACCUGCACGAAUGGCGUAACGAUGGCCACACUGUCUCUACCCGAGACUCAGUGAAAUUGAAAUCGCAGUGAAGAUGCUGCGUACCCGCGGCUAGACGGAAAGACCCCGUGAACCUUUACUAUAGCUUCACAGUGGACUUUGACAUUACUUGUGUAGGAUAGCUGGGAGGCUUUGAAGCGUGAUCGCUAGAUUGCGUGGAGCCAAUCUUGAAAUACCAGCCUGGUAAUGUUGAGGUUCUAACUCAGGUCCCUUAUCGGGAUCGAGGACACUGUGUGGUGGGUAGUUUGACUGGGGCGGUCUCCUCCCAAAGAGUAACGGAGGAGCACGAAGGUUGGCUAAUCCUGGUCGGAAAUCAGGAGGUUAGUGUAAUGGCACAAGCCAGCUUGACUGCGAGAUGGACAUAUCGAGCAGGUACGAAAGUAGGUCAUAGUGAUCCGGUGGUUCUGUAUGGAAGGGCCAUCGCUCAACGGAUAAAAGGUACUCCGGGGAUAACAGGCUGAUACCGCCCAAGAGUUCACAUCGACGGCGGUGUUUGGCACCUCGAUGUCGGCUCAUCACAUCCUGGGGCUGAAGCCGGUCCCAAGGGUAUGGCUGUUCGCCAUUUAAAGUGGUACGCGAGCUGGGUUUAGAACGUCGUGAGACAGUUCGGUCCCUAUCUGCCGUGGGCGUUAGAAAUUUGAGAAGAGCUGCUCCUAGUACGAGAGGACCGGAGUGGACGAACCCCUGGUGUUCCAGUUGUCAUGCCAAUGGCAUUGCUGGGUAGCUACGUUCGGACAGGAUAACCGCUGAAAGCAUCUAAGCGGGAAGCCCCCUUCAAGAUGAGAUUUCUCUGGGAACUAGAUUCCCCUAAAGGGCUGUUGAAGACUACAACGUUGAUAGGCUGGGUGUGGAAGCGUUGCAAGGCGUUAAGCUAACCAGUACUAAUUGCCCGUGAGGCUUGACUAU